UGAGGAAUAUUUGUCAAUGGACGCAAGUCUGAACCAGCCAAGUAGCGUGCAGGAUGACGGCCCUAUGGGUUGUAAACUGCUUUUAUAUGGGGAUAAAGUGGGGAACGUGUUCCCUUUUGCAGGUACCAUAUGAAUAAGGACCGGCUAAUUCCGUGCCAGCAGCCGCGGUAAUACGGAAGGUCCAGGCGUUAUCCGGAUUUAUUGGGUUUAAAGGGAGCGUAGGCUGUUUGUUAAGCGUGUUGUGAAAUGUAAGAGCUCAACUUUUAGAUUGCAGCGCGAACUGGCAGACUUGAGUGCGCACAACGUAGGCGGAAUUCAUGGUGUAGCGGUGAAAUGCUUAGAUAUCAUGACGAGCGCCGAUGGCGAAGGCAGCUUACGGGAGCGCAACGGACGCUAGAGCUCGAAGGUGCGUGUAUCGAACAGG
rnacentral:rRNA from 1 species